rnacentral:rRNA from 1 species
CCUACGGGUGGCAGCAGUGGGGAAUAUUGCACAAUGGGGGGAACCCUGAUGCAGCGACGCCGCGUGAGUGAAGAAGUCUUGCGGUAUGUAAAGCUCUAUCAGCAGGGAAGAAAAUGACGGUACCUGACUAAGAAGCCCCGGCUAACUACGUGCCAGCAGCCGCGGGAAUACGUAGGGGGCAAGUGUUAGCCGGAUGUACUGGGUGUAAAGGGAGCGCAGACGGCUGUGCAAGUCUGGAGUGAAAGGCGGGGUCCCAACCCCCGGACUGCUCUGGAAACUGUAAAGCUGGAGUGCAGGAGAGGUAAGCGGAAUUCCUAGUGUAGCGGUGAAAUGCGUAGAUAUUAGGAGGAACACCAGUGGCGAAGGCGGCUUACUGGACUGCAACUGACGUUGAGGCUCGAAAGCGUGGGGAGCAAACAGGAUUAGAUACCCCUGUAGUC